rnacentral:rRNA from 1 species
CCCUAUGGGGUGCAGCAGGAAAAGAUGCAAAUGAGAGCUGCAAGCUUUGUCAUAACAACAGUGUCGUUGGUCCGGUCGCGGUACAGUAUAAGCUUUCGAAGCACAGUUACGGGGAAGCGGCGUUUGAAGAAGCCGGCUCCACCGGGUGUGCUCCCUGCCAUGCAGGAGAAGGUUUCAAAUAUGUAUGUGCAAAUAAUGUAUCGACGGUUUUUGUAAAAGAUGCUGCGGGCAAAUAUUCAAAUCCAUAUGCUGCCACGGCUUCCGCUGCCUAUGGUGAAAUCGACUGUUUCACCUGUCACAAAAACCUGCAUACCAGUUAUCUCCUGGCUGAUUUCAAACCCCUCACCACCACUGCGGCUGUUCCGAUGACCAUGUGGGGUGGUUCAAAGACCAUUAACCUGCCGGCAGGAAACGGGGAGAGC